ensembl:lncRNA
AAGGGCUUUAAUGCCUCACACCUCUGAGGCGUCAUCUGCUAAAGGAAGGUAUCCACAUCUACUAGCGUUUCGUUUGGAGCCCUGGCUCAGCAGGUUGGCGGUCACCCCUUGAUCCUGGAAUCCCAGCAUGCCUUGCCAUCGGUGUUUGGGGUCGCAAGCCAGGCUUUGGUCCCUGGUGACAUAUGUGCUAGACAGGACCUUUUCUAAAGCACCGUCACUAAUUUAAAGACCUAAAUACCAUUAACUAACACUGGAGACCGUAUAACCAUAAUCUUUUUACGUUCUUAAGUGCUUCUGUUUUCGCAGUCUUAAAGGGCAAAGGCAACACAAGGCGAAUGUUAAUGUAUUACAUCAGUGGUCGUACUUUACUUCUUAUGACUGUCUAUUAAAUGCAUUUUAGUAAGCGCAUUUAUCAAAAUGUCACGAGUAACACAGUCCCCGUAACCUUUAAUAAUGUUGACAUGAUUCAUGGUAAUGGUGCUGUCUUCCAAUCCAAUUAUUUUAGUGAUUACUAGCACACGCUUGGCUCACCACAUACACUUCCUUAAGUUAUCAGGACACUAAUUGGUUAACAAGAUAUUGCAUUUUGCAGUCUUCUCCUUGGUCCUUGGGGAUUUCUCACCAUGCCAUCUGCUCAGAGCUAAUAGGAGAUAUAACGUUUCUGUAUCUCAGCAGCACACGGGCAUACGUUAACAUUACAGAUCCGAGAUGUUUCGAGUCAAAUGGAGUAAAGUCUGAUGCCUGAGUUUGUUUUUGUUUUUUUUAAUCAGAGCAAGAACUCACAUGUUUUAUGUACUUUGAGAGCUGUCCAGUGAAGAAUCAAUCUAGUGGAAACAUUAUUAUAGCAAUGUCAAACCACUAGGCCUUGUUUCAUGAUCUACGGGAGUAUUAAAUGUCUCCAUAAAACACAUCACGUAUCCUAAGCAGCAUGAUAUUUACAGCUUUUAGUGAGGUCUCAGGGCCUCAUAAAUUACAUUGAAAAGAACAUCCUGAAAUGAACAGGGUAUAUGAUUGCGCUUAGUCAACUAGUCCGUUUAUGCAUGGUUUAAAUCUCAGCUAAGCUCUGUCCUUGGUUAAGAGGAAUCAAGAUAACUUGCCAUGAUCAGAAACUACUUAAAAUGACCUUGCCAUUAAUGGAUGUUCAGGUUAUAACAGGGCUCUUGUGUGCAACUUGAAAUCUGUGCCUAUACUGACUGCAGAGAUUACGACCAUUUCAGUGGGAUUUCAUAAGAGCAGUGCACAUCCUUCAUGAGGAAUGGCCCAUAACAAGCUAUUAUCUCCUUCUCCUCUUGCUUUCACCAACAACCAGAAUGGAAUAUUACAAAUGGCUUGUGACAGGGUUCGGCAAGCAGGCCAACCGAUAACAAACCUGUCAGGACAGCUUCAGCAGGAAGAUAAAUUCUACGCCACGGUGCGCUAAAUGGAAGGCGCCACGGCAGCUGAUUAGGUCCUUAUCAGGGGUGCUUUGGCGCGAGCGUCUUUUUUCUCCCAUUUCACAUCUCUCCAAGGAGUCGACAUCAAAGGAGAUCACUGAGGUUGCUCUGGUUAGCCUGUCAGCUGUAUUUGAAGGAACGUGGUGGGAGGAUAGAAGCGGAG